rnacentral:rRNA from 1 species
GCUAGUCGCACGAGUUCAGACUCGUGGCGAAUAGCUCAGUAACACGUGGCCAAACUACCCUUCGGAACACAAUACCCUCGGGAAACUGAGGCUAAUAGUGUAUACCAUACCACCACUGGAAUGAGUGGUAUGCCAAACGCUCCGGCGCCGAAGGAUGUGGCUGCGGCCGAUUAGGUAGACGGUGGGGUAACGGCCCACCGUGCCAAUAAUCGGUAUGGGUCACGAGAGUGAGAACCCAGAGACGGAAUCUGAGACAAGAUUCCGGGCCCUACGGGGCGCAGCAGGCGCGAAACCUUUACACUGCACGACAGUGCGAUAGGGGGAUCCCAAGUGCACAGGCAUAGCGCCUGUGCUUUUCGGUACCGUAAGGUGGUACCAGAAUAAGGGCUGGGCAAGACCGGUGCCAGCCGCCGCGGUAAUACCGGCAGCCCAAGUGAUGGCCGAUCUUAUUGGGCGCUAAAGCGUCCGUAGCUGGCCGCGCAAGUCCAUCGGGAAAUCCACCUGCUCAACAGGUGGGCGCCCGGUAGAAACUGCGUGGCUUGGGACCGGAAGGCGCGACGGGUACGUCCGGGGUAGGAGUGAAAUCCCGUAAUCCUGGACGGACCGCCGAUGGCGAAAGCACGUCGCGAGGACGGAUCCGACAGUGAGGGACGAAAGCCAGGGUCUCGAACCGGAUUAGAUACCCGGGUAGUCCUGGCCGUAAACAAUGUCUGCUAGGUGUGGCUCCCACUACGAGUGGGUGCUGUGCCGUAGGGAAGCCGCUAAGCAGACCGCCUGGGAAGUACGUCCGCAAGGAUGAAACUAAAG